UAGCUGGUUUCUAGAGGGCAAAUCAGGAAAAUCAUAUUUAAAAUGUGAAUUAAAAAAAUCGCCUCCCCCAAUGAAAGAAAAAGAAAGAAAAAUAGAGAAAGAAAAAGGAAAACAAAUGGGGGUACGUAACUAAACAGAUGCUGACUGGCGAUGCGGCGGCGUUAUUCCCAUGAUAGUCAAGCAUCUUCUGGGAAACCAAAGUCUUUGGGUUCUGGGGGGAGUAUGGUUGCAAUGCUGAAACUUAACAGAAUGGACAGAAGGGCACCACCAGGAGUGGAGCCUGCAGCUUAAUUUGACUCAACAGGGGAAACCUCACCCGGCCUGGACACAGACAGGAUUGACAGAUUGAUAGCUCUUUCUCGAUUCCGUGGGUGGUGGUACAUGGCCGUUCUUAGAAAGGUGGAGCGAUAUGUCUGGUUAAUUCCGAUAAGGAACUAGACUCUGGCAUGCUAACUAGUUACGUGAUCCCCUAAGCGGUCAGCAUCCCCCAACUUCUUAGAGGGACAAGUGGCGUUCAGCCACCCGAGAUUGAGCAAUAACAGGUCUGUGAUGCCCUUAGAUGUCCGGGGCUGCAUUAGCGCCACACUGACUGGCUCAGCGUGUGCCUAUCCUACAAGGGCAGGCACGGGUAACCCAUUGAACCUCAUUCGUGAUGGAGAUCGGGGAUUGCAAUUAUUCUCUAUGAACAAGGAAUUCCCAGUAAGUGCCGCUCAUAAUCUUGCGUUGAUUAAGUCCCUGCCCUUUGUACACACCACCCUUUGCUACUACCGAUUGGAUGGUUUAGUGAGGCCUGAUCAGCCCAUGGCCCUGUCGGAGGGCUGAGAAGAAGGUCGAACUUGACUAUCUAGAGGAAGUAAAAAUCAUAACAAGGUUUCCGUAGGUGAACCAGUGGAAGGAUCAUUA
rnacentral:ncRNA from 1 species